CAGCAGGCGGUAAUACGAAGGGUGCAAGCGUUACUCGGAAUUACUGGGCGUAAAGCGUGCGUAGGUGGUGGUUUAAGUCCGUUGUGAAAGCCCUGGGCUCAACCUGGGAAUUGCAGUGGAUACUGGGUCACUAGAGUGUGGUAGAGGAUAGUGGAAUUUCCGGUGUAGCAGUGAAAUGCGUAGAGAUCGGAAGGAACAUCUGUGGCGAAGGCGACUAUCUGGGCCAACACUGACACUGAGGCACGAAAGCGUGGGGAGCAAACAGGAUUAGAUACCCCCGUAGUCCCUGUCUCUUAUACAC
rnacentral:rRNA from 1 species